rnacentral:ncRNA from 1 species
GCGAUGCGGGAUGAACCGGAAGCCGGGGUACGGUGCCCAACUGCGCGCUAACCUAGAACCCACAAAGGGUGUUGGUCGAUUAAGACACAAGGACGGUGGUCAUGGAAGUCGAAAUCCGCUAAGGAGUGUGUAACAACUCACCUGCCGAAUCAACUAGCCCCNNNNNNGGAUGGCGCUGAAGCGCGCGACCCACACCCGGCC